GAAUCUCCUACUACGAGUUUGUAAGUUUGCAGAAAUGGCAGAGAAGCUAAAAGGACAUUGAGGGAAGCGGGAGAAAAAACUAUUAGUUUGGAUAAAACAGGUUUUGUGUGUAAUUAGAGGUCAUGUGACCAGAAAGACGUUAGAAGAAAGAUGUUACUAAUGUGGUGGAGAAAAGAUUGAACACAGUUAAGAGCUGAUUUUACUUGAAUGUCCUCAUUUUAAUUAGUGUUAAAAAGUAAGAGGAAAUGAUGAGGGCAAUAUGUUUUUUUAAUUGUUAAGCAGCUAUUUGUUAUGCUGAAUGUUUGUGUUGUAUUAACUCUUAUUCAUGUCUUUCUCAUGCGAGAGCGAGGCCAGAGAAGCUCAGAUGAGAGAAGAGGCUCCGGUGGAGGAAAGCUUUCAGCCUCAAAAGGAGAAGAUGGUGCUGGAGUUUUGUGCAGGUGUUUAACUGGAGUUUCUCAGCAGAACAUUGAUUGAAAUGACCUGUGUAGAGUUCACACCUCUGUGGUGUUCAAAUGCCGAGCAAAACACAGGGCAUGAUGACUCUUCCACGCAUGCGCAGAAGGACACUUCCGGCCUUACGGACGUUACCGCGCGAUUUUUAUUUUUACUUGUCUGGAGUCAUCCGACAUUACGCUUAAAGGAAAGGUGAAAACACACAUAAUAUUAACUUACCGCUUAAAAGAAGCUUUUCAAUCUCCAUCCAGUUUAUAGUGCUUCUUAGUCCUCUGGUGGUAGAUCGCUAGUUUUUGUCCCAAAUUCCAUCAGUAAGUUAGGAGUUGUAGACUGUUCAUUCUAACGGACAUCAUUAGCGAGGGAUCUGUUUCGGUUAACUAGCUAGUUGGCAAUUUCAGUAGGCAGUGAAAUAACUAACACUUUGGUGGUAGCUAGCAAGUUAGCGAAUGUAGCUGUGUACACAUUCAUUUGAAGAUGAUGCACUACUAAAAGGAAACAAGUCUGGUUGUGGUAAUGCUAGCUAAUAAGCUACACAUUAGCUGUUAGGGUGAUUUUUCUUAAAUGUACAGAGCAAAAGCAACACAAGUAGGGGAGAGUCAACUGGAAGAACUUGUUGAAAAACUGGAUGCCCAGACCAUGGAUGUAAUUUCACACAGGAGGUCUACUGUUCUUCAUGGUCUUCCCUUGUACAUGAGAGCGACAGCUUCAAUUUCAAACACCAUUCUGGUCAUUUAUUUUGAGUUUUAUUUGAACUUUUACAAGCACUACUGUUGCAAACCUAAACUAAACACCUUACAAAGGUUUACCCCAGUUCAGUUGUUUCAGUUUCUUUAUGAAAUAGUUGACUGUUGUCCAUUAUUUACUGUGUUUCAUUGGACACUGAUGCAUUGGGGCCGUGCACAAAGGGCAUGAAAAUGGGAAUCCUUGAAGUGGGAAAUGACUGCACUGCUCACUCAGGAUCAAAUUCCACGGUGGUCAAUGUGGCAGUCGUAUUGGAAGAGGAAGUAGUUAUGGACAAUCUGGGAGACUCCAUAAAAGCCUUCAUUCUCCUCUUUGGUCUGCUUUAUGCUCUUAACAUAGAGUAUCCCAAGGACUUAAGGUACACCUUUGAAGCCGUCCAGAAAAUCUUUGUGAACCUUGGAAGUGAGUGCACUGCAAGAGUGCAGUCUCUAAAGAACAAAUUAUUGCAGCUGUAAUUUAAACAUUUUCAUGCCAGUGAUUAUUUUUGGCAAUACUGCAGUUGGAAACAGAUGUCUGACAAUUAUUUGAAUUUGAAUUGAGUUGCUGAACAGCAUGGUUGAACUUUCACACCAGAUGUUUGACAGACUUGAAUUUUUCUUAGAAUUGUUGAAUUUGGUUUUACAUGGUUGAACUUUUGCACAAGAUGUUUCAGAAAUCCAUUCAUUUAAAUGAACAAAAAUCAUUUAAUUAAUCCUUUAUUUUAAUGUCUUUUAAACGGUACUGUAAGGAACCAAAUUUCUUUUGAUCUAAAGCAAAGGCAUUUGAUUUUGAAGUGAACCUGUAAGACCUUUAGAUGGAGAAGUGAAAUUAGUAAGCUUUGUAAAUCAGAGUUCUCAUGCACUUUUCUGCAGUUCAAACCAGUUUGCUCUAGGUGAUAUUAUUGCGUAGUCUGGUACUAAAAUGCAGUAAUGAUAUAUUUCAUUUACAUAUGUAUUACUUUAACAUGCAGUGUGCACAUAUUCUGUUUUAAAUUGUUCUUUUGUACACAGAACGUCCAGUUCAAAUCAGGAUGCUGUAAAAUAAAUGUAUGUAAAAUAUACAUACAGAAUUUUCUAACUGCACUUGAGCUUUUACAAUGUAUUGUAUCUCUUGUAUUCUGUUUUGCACAGUUCUGUUGUAUGCAGUACUUUUGUGCAGUUCUACACUGUAUGCUCUUACAGAUCUUAUUAAAAAUCAUUUAAUAAUUUACCAUA